rnacentral:lncRNA from 1 species
GGAGGUAAUUGAAUCAUGGGGGCCGGUCUUCCCCGUGCUGUUCUUGUGAUAGUGAAUAAGUCUCACGAGAUCUGAUGGGUUUAUCAGGGGUUUCUGCUUUUGCUUCUUCCUCAUUUUCUCUUGCUGCUGCCAUGUAAGAAGUGCCUUUUGCCUCCUGCCAUGAUUCUGAGGCCUCCCCAGCCAUGUGGAACUGGCUCAGUGUGGUCAAAAGAAGACUAUAGAAUCAAGGAUGAAGAGAAGGAACACAGAAUAAAAGGACGUCUCAGCAGGAAGCUCUGUGACUACUAUGUCAAAUGAUGCCAUACAGUGAAGCACCUUGAAAGAUUGCUGGGAUAAGCUGACAGCAUGGCAGCCAAAAUAGUGACCCCAGGCUUGCAGGAAUUCUGUGCUUUCUGGAGGAAAUGGUCAUGGGUUUCCCAACCUGCCUUUUAAACUAAGGACCGAGCUGAAGAAGCCCCCGUCUUCCAGCGCAUGUUAUUCCCAUGACAGAUGCUAAAAGUUCAAGGGGAGAGCUACAAGAAGUGCGUUUUCCUGUGGCUACUUUCAUGUCUGGAUGCAAUGCCUAGACCUGCAUCCAUCUUGCGACCAACCUGAAGAUGAACAGAAAGGAAGGAAGGAUGGCCCAAUAGCCUGGGAAGAACUGGUGUUCCUGAUACCAUCAUUAACCACAGAAUCUACAAUCCCGGAACCCCCCAUCCUUAACCAUGGAAUCUACAAUCCUAUCUCUAGACCCUUUGUCCAGAUGCUACAGUUUCUUUGUUCAAUCUAGUUUGUGUCAGGAUUUCUGUUCAUUACAUCAAAAGUAUUCUAAUACUUGUAGCAAAGCAACUGGAGAAGUUUUCACUUUGUCUUUAACCAAAGAAGACUUCCAGGAAACAUCUCCUCAGUGGGUUUCUCCCUCACCACUGGAUUUUUAUCUCUGUACUAGUGCUUUGAUUUGUUUUAGGAGUCUCACCUCUCCACCUGUCAUAUUUCCCUGGCAGGCUCAUUUCUGCUAAUGCCCACAAUAUGUGUAUCAAUGAGCUUUCAACGUUAGGUACACAGCUCUUCAGGCAUGUAUAGCACAUUAAUCUGUCUGCUUCUAAGUGGUCUGUUGACAUGUUUGGGUGCCAGUUAUAUCUACAAGGCUGUGAUCAUUGUCCUGGGUUAUUCUGUUUGUUCUCUCUGCAGGAUGCAUUAGGACACCCAAGGCCAUGGCCAUCACUUACAUCUAGGAUUCAAUCUUAUCUCCUGUGAAUCACUGGAAACCUCCUGUCCUGGAACCCUUUUUUUCCACAUCCCACUGGAUGUCAUUCAUAGCAACUGGUCUUGUGGGUUGUCUAUUUUAUUGUGUUGUCUUACUCUUCCUCCUGGUAUCAGUUUUUAAAUCCUCUUGAUGAGAUCAGCUGAUCAGUCGCUAAGCAACAUAGUCCCCCAUGUCUUUGUAAGAUUCUCUGCACUCAUGGCUAGAAUGAUUUAUUCUGGUAUCUUAAGCUGUGUUUCAGAACCUCAUUCUAAAUAUCAACCUAUUCUUGUAAGUCCACUACUGAUCAUCUUUAGAUAUUCUUCAGUCUUCCAGAGUUCCAAAGGGCAGUAGGAAGAAGCAAUGAAAAUACCACCUGUAUUCUCACAUCUUUCAUUGUUCCACUCAAAAAAUACCACCAUGUUCACUUCUGGUGGAACGUUUAUGUCCAUGAGAAGCAGUGGCUUUGAAGAGUUUUGGCAGACUAUGGCGCCUUACUCAACAUUGGGAAGGUAUCUUGCCAUCAGACCUUUUGGGUCUCCAUGAAACUUCUUAUACCCCCUCUGGGAAAAGUCACUAACUGUGAUCUUACUGAGCUUCUAAACACAGCAUUUUUUUUACACUUAAGUGAGCGGGGGUCCUCCUCAUUUGUGCUUCUCUUCUUGUAAGGGUGACUUCCUCCCAGUAGGAUGAAUCUCAUGCCUAUUUGUGUUAUUUUGCUAAUUCCAGCUUCUUUUCUACUCAGGGGGGUUCCAACUCUUUUAAGGUCUCAUCUUCAGCACUUCUAAACUGUGGGAAACUAUGUGAAAACAAAUGGAGUGGCCAAACACACCAUUCAUCACUGUGCUUCUGGACAGCUGCAAGUCCAUACGUGUUCUGAUGAAGUCUGGCUCUGUUGCCCAGGCUGGAGUGCAAUGGCACAGUCUCGGCUCACUGCAACCUCUGCCUCCUGGGUUCAUGCAAUUCUCCUGCCUCAGCUUCCCAAGUAGCUGGGAUUACAGACAUGCACCACCAUGCCCAGCUAAUUUUUGUAUUUUUAGUACAAACAGGGUUUCACUAUGUUAGUCGGGCUGAUCUUGAACUCCUGACCUCAAGUGAUCCACUCCCCGCAGCCUCCCAAAGUGCUGGGAUUACAGGCGUGAGCCACUGCGCCCGGCCUUUCAGCUGAUUUUCUAAUCAAGAAGUUAUAUCAGUCUUUGUCUGCAGUUGCUCAAAGACUCUCUUUUAAAGUGCAGAGACUAUCCACCUCAGCUAUAGCACAGGGCUCAGCACUGUAUUUCCAGUUAUGGAAUACAGUUAUUUCAUAUAUGUUAUAUUAUUCUUAAUUCUGUCCCUAGUUCCUGCUACUGAGGAAGUCCAUACUCAGCAGGACAGUCUCCUGGUCUGCCAUGAAUUCAAACACAAUCUGUAAAGACAGUGAAGGAAGCUACAUCUGUGCAUGGGGGCUUUAGAGAAUUAUUGGCUUGAAGCAAUAAGAGGAACAUCUGGGCUGAGUAGUCCUCGAAGACUCUCAUGUGAUUCAAAAGUCCUUUUCUUCCUUAUUAUUUCCUAUCUUGCUCUCAAGCAUCUCCUCUGGCAGCAGCAACUGGAACUAAAAGUGAUUUCUCUAUAACAGCGAGCAAGUUUCUCAUGGCCUUUGCUAUUAACUCUUUCAUGCCUGCUGACCUGCAAAAGAAUCAGGAGGGCUGGUGCUGGAGCAGAUGGCGCACUGUGAGUGAUGGUUUAGAUUCUGCCUGGACUCAAACCAUUUGGUUGAUGGCGGGAACCUUGAUUUUCCCCCUUCUUAUCCUGAGAGUGUAGGGUUUCUCUGAAUUAUUAUUUCUUUCUUUGCAAGGAUCCCUGGAUCCUCAUUCCUGAUAUAAGACUAGUUCUAGGUAAGUGCACAUUCAUGUGAUAUAUUGGUUCCAUACUAGGCAAUGGAAGUGCCACAUUAUCUGUAAGGAGCAGGAGAAGAGCCAUUAGCCCCAGUCCUGGGAACGAACUUUCUGUAACUUUAAGAAACAUAAAACUUUAAAUGCAACUGAAAGAUUAUAUUCUGUCACCUCCAACUACUCACCCAUAAAUACAAUAGGCACCACGGAGGCUAGGAUAAAGUGCAAAUUUAAGAUUAUAAGUGUGCUUAUAAUAAAUAUUGACAACAUCAUGCCUUCAAUGUUAUCAAUGUUGAUGUCACCCUGCAGGCCCAAGGUAGAGAGGUAGAACUGCUCCGCUGGCUGCCCUGCCAUACUUUGGGGUCAUGUGAUACGAUCUUCCAUAGCCACGGGGCCUUGGUUGUCAACUCAUUCCUGAACUUUGUGUGCCAAAGUGAGUCCAGCUUCCACACCCUUCACCUCCACCACCAGGCUGAUCCAGACUGCCAGGCUACGAUCCUCCAAGCAGGAUCCUACCUUGAUCUUAAAAACUUCCUAUGAAGAGCUCUACCAUCAUGUUUUCUAAAACCAGAAGCCCACCCUAAUCCCUGCCUGGCUUUUGGUUCCUUCAUUAGAGGCAAUCACUGCCAUAGAGAGCCCCACUCACUAUCCCUCCAUAGACGCCUUAGAACUAGGUUGGGAGCACGAGAUGCUCAGCCUUUAUAUUUUGUUAUCUUGAACCACAUGGGAGUCUUUGAGGACUACCCAGCCCAGACAUUUCUCUUAUUACUGCAAGCCGAUAAUUCUCUAAAGCACCUAAGCACAGACGUAGCUUCCUUCACUGUCUUUACAGAUUGUGUUUGAAUUCAUGGCACAGCAGAAGACUGUCCUGCUGUGUAUGGAGUUCCUCAGUAGCAGGAACUAGGGACAGAAUUGAGAAUAGCACUAACACCAGAAAUACAGUGCUGAGCCCUGUGCUGUAGCUGAGGUGGAUGGUCUCUGACUCUGUGGGCCUCUCUGCAGCCAGUCCAAUUCCUGUCUUUCUCUUGUGAAUAAAUGUUGCUGGCUCCAACUCAGCCUUAUUUUUUGAUGUGAUUCUGACUCCAGUCAUUAAGGGGGAUGUCUUAGUCCUUUUGGGCUACUAUAACAAAAUAUCUUAGAUUGGAUAAUUUAUAAAUGACAGAAAUUUAUUGCUCACAGUCCUUGAGGCUGGAAAGUCCAAGAUAAGGUGCUAGCUGAUUUGGUGUCUGGUGAGUGCUAGCUCUCUGCCUCAUGGAUGGGGCCAUCAUUCUGUGUCCUCGUAUGGUAGAAGGGGCAAACAAGUUUCCUUGGGCCUCUUUUAUAAGGGCACUAAUCCCAUUCAUGAAGGCAGAGCCCUCAUAACCUAAUUGUUUCCCAUCUCUUAAUACCAGCACAUUGGGGAUUAGGUUUCAACAUAUGAAUUUUGGGAGGAUGCAAGCACUCAGACCAUAGCAGAGAGAGAAUGCAGAUAAAGCCCCAGCAAAAAGCACACGCAGAUGUGGAUGUAUUUGGAUCCACUUCUCCGUUCCCAUUUCCAGGACUUCAUUAAGCAUUAAUAACAGGAAGAAAAAUUCAGAAUGUUCAUAUUUUAAAAUUUAUAGUCAAUCUUAAUCCCUUUGGAUGGUAUUUACUUUCUUGAUUGGUGUAUUAGUCCAUUCUUGCAUUGGUAUAAAGAAAUAUCCAAGACUGGAUAAUUUAUAAAGAAAAGCAGAUUAAUUGGUUCACAGUUCUGCAGGCUAUACAGGAAGCAUGGCACUGACAUCUGCUUGGCUUCUGGGGAGGUCUCAGGAAGCUUUUACUUAUGGCAGAAGGCAAAUAGGGAGCCAGUGUGGCAAAUGGCAGAGCAGGAGCAAG